rnacentral:rRNA from 1 species
UAAUACGAAGGGGGCUAGCGUUGUUCGGAAUUACUGGGCGUAAAGGGCGCGUAGGCGGCGUCGGAAGUCAGGCGUGAAAGCCCCGGGCUCAACCUGGGAAUUGCGUUUGAUACUCUGAUGCUUGAGUUCGGGAGAGGUGAGUGGAAUUCCCAGUGUAGAGGUGAAAUUCGUAGAUAUUGGGAAGAACACCAGUGGCGAAGGCGGCUCACUGGACCGAUACUGACGCUGAGGCGCGAAAGCGUGGGGAGCAAACAGGAUUAGAUACCCUGGUAGUCCACGCCGUAAACGAUGUGUGCUAGACGCUGGGAGCCCUAGGCUUUCGGUGUCGUCGCUAACGCUUUAAGCACACCGCCUGGGGAGUACGGCCGCAAGGUUA